GGGAAUGUGGCCUAGUGGUAAAGUGUUUGCCUAGCAUGCAAGAAGCCCUGGGUUCAAUUCCUCAGUACCA
rnacentral:tRNA from 1 species